rnacentral:rRNA from 1 species
CAGUCGCCGCGGUAAUACGUAGGGUGCAAGCGUUGUCCGGAAUUAUUGGGCGUAAAGAGCUCGUAGGCGGUUCGUCGCGUCUGCUGUGAAAACCCGAGGCUCAACCUCGGGCUUGCAGUGGGUACGGGCGGACUAGAGUGCGGUAGGGGAGAUUGGAAUUCCUGGUGUAGCGGUGGAAUGCGCAGAUAUCAGGAGGAACACCGAUGGCGAAGGCAGAUCUCUGGGCCGUAACUGACGCUGAGGAGCGAAAGCAUGGGGAGCGAACAGGAUUAGAUACCCCCGUAGUCCCUGUCUCUUAUAC